rnacentral:misc_RNA from 1 species
AAGUCGUAACAAGGUUUCCGUAGGUGAACCUGCGGAAGGAUCAUUAACACUUUUGGAUUCGUCCCAAAUUAACAAAUUCAAUUAACCCAAACCCCUACUUGCAAACCAAAAAUUAUAACCUAACCUAACCAAACUUUUAUUAACACCUAACAACAUAACUAAUUGACUAAUUUCUCAAGAUUGUAUCUCUUCUUAAGCAAGCAUGUAUUCUCUUGGUUUGUCUAGCUAGCUAGGCCAACUUGAAGAUUGAAUCGUUUGUGACGAGUUGAGUCCAAUCUGCUUUGAUCAAUUCAUUUUCUACGAUGAAUUGUACUAAAUAAUAAACUACAACUCUAAACAAUGGAUAUCUUGGUUCUC